AGUGAACGCUGGCGGUAGGCCUAACACAUGCAAGUCGAACGGCAGCACAGUAAGAGCUUGCUCUUACGGGUGGCGAGUGGCGGACGGGUGAGGAAUACAUCGGAAUCUACUUUUUCGUGGGGGAUAACGUAGGGAAACUUACGCUAAUACCGCAUACGACCUACGGGUGAAAGCAGGGGAUCUUCGGACCUUGCGCGAUUGAAUGAGCCGAUGUCGGAUUAGCUAGUUGGCGGGGUAAAGGCCCACCAAGGCGACGAUCCGUAGCUGGUCUGAGAGGAUGAUCAGCCACACUGGAACUGAGACACGGUCCAGACUCCUACGGGAGGCAGCAGUGGGGAAUAUUGGACAAUGGGCGCAAGCCGGAUCCAGCCAUACCGCGUGGGUGAAGAAGGCCUUCGGGUUGUAAAGCCCCUUUGUUGGGAAAGAAAAGCAGCAGGUUAAUACCCCGCUGUUCUGACGGUACCCAAAGAAUAAGCACCGGCUAACUUCGUG
rnacentral:rRNA from 1 species